CUGGUGCGCGUUUAAAUUUUUUCUAAUAUACAUAUAUAUUGGCCUUCAAAGGGUCCUUCAAAGGGUCCAGGACCUAAUUUUGCUCAGUGGCCCAAAUGGCUAUAAGUCCGUCCCUGAGGGGCACAUAAAAAAUAUGAUGUUCUGAAAUGUGGUCUAAAAUAAUAAAUGUUAGGUAUCGACCAUGGAAACUAGCAGGUACAUAGCACUGGUGACUCUGAGACCAUUCCCUGUUUGCAUCACUCUUCAGAACAUACACUUUUUGUACAUGACCUAGUGCAGAGCUCGACAAAUCCCAGACGCCAGGUCGCCAUGGUGACUAGAAAUAUUUUGCUGGCUUUUUUCAGCCCUUUACCUAAAGCGUCUGGCAAGGCAGACAGCCCUAGGCUGCAUGGAGGUGGCCGGUUUAUGGAGCGUUGUAGUUGGCCGCCCUGGGGAGCAAGGAGGCGGCCGUCUCAGGGAGCGAUGUAGCUAGCUAGCUUCCCACCCUCCCUGGGAAUCAAAGAGGUCGGCUGAGGCAGCAGUGAUCUUCCUGCAGCUCCUUUCUGCUCCCUCGUGCUGUAUAGUGAUGCCAGGAGCUGGAAUAGGACGUCACUCCAGCCCCGGCAUCACUGCAGAGAGGAGCUGCAGGUGGAUUACUGCUUCCUUGCAUGCAGGAAGAGAGAGCAGCCUCACUGAACCCCAGGGAAAG